rnacentral:rRNA from 1 species
AUUGAACGCUGGCGGCAGGCCUAACACAUGCAAGUCGAGCGGAUGAAGGGAGCUUGCUCCUUGAUUCAGCGGCGGACGGGUGAGUAAUGCUUAGGAAUCUGCCUAUUAGUGGGGGACAACAUUCCGAAAGGAAUGCUAAUACCGCAUACGUCCUACGGGAGAAAGCAGGGGAUCUUCGGACCUUGCGCUAAUAGAUGAGCCUAAGUCGGAUUAGCUAGUUGGUGGGGUAAAGGCCUACCAAGGCGACGAUCUGUAGCGGGUCUGAGAGGAUGAUCCGCCACACUGGGACUGAGACACGGCCCAGACUCCUACGGGAGGCAGCAGUGGGGAAUAUUGGACAAUGGGCGGAAGCCUGAUCCAGCCAUGCCGCGUGUGUGAAGAAGGCCUUUUGGUUGUAAAGCACUUUAAGCGAGGAGGAGGCUACCUAGAUUAAUACUCUGGGAUAGUGGACGUUACUCGCAGAAUAAGCGCCGGUUAACUCUGUGCCAGCCGCCGCAGUAAGAC